GAUGAACGCUGGCGGCGUGCUUAACACAUGCAAGUCGAACGGAAAGGCCCAAGCUUGCUUGGGUACUCGAGUGGCGAACGGGUGAGUAACACGUGGGUGAUCUGCCCUGCACUUCGGGAUAAGCCUGGGAAACUGGGUCUAAUACCGGAUAGGACCACGUCUUGGAUGUUGUGGUGGAAAGUUUUUUCGGUGUGGGAUGAGCUCGCGGCCUAUCAGCUUGUUGGUGGGGUAAUGGCCUACCAAGGCGUCGACGGGUAGCCGGCCUGAGAGGGUGUACGGCCACAUUGGGACUGAGAGACGGCCCAGACUCCUACGGGAGGCAGCAGGGGGGAAUAUUGCACAAUGGGCGCAAGCCUGAUGCAGCGACGCCGCGUGGGGGAUGACGGCCUUCGGGUUGUAAACUCCUUUCGCUAGGGACGAAGCGUUUUUGUGACGGUACCUGGAGAAGAAGCACCGGCUAACUACGUG
rnacentral:rRNA from 1 species